GGCGCGAUGUCAGAGUGGUUAUGUCACGGACUGCAACUCCGUUUACUCCGGUUCGAUUCCGGAUCGCGCCUCCA
rnacentral:tRNA from 1 species